rnacentral:rRNA from 1 species
CCUACGGGAGGCAGCAGUAGGGAAUCUUCGGCAAUGGACGAAAGUCUGACCCAGCCACGCCGCGUGAGUGAAGAAGGUUUUCGGAUCGUAAAACUCUGUUGUUAGAGAAGAACAAGGACGUUAGUAUCUGAACGUCCCCUGACGGUAUCUGCCAAAACCCGC